GAUGAAGAACGUAGCGAAAUGCGAUAAGUAAUGUGAAUUGCAGAAUUCAGUGAAUCAUCGAAUCUUUGAACGCACAUUGCGCCCGCCAGUAUUCUGGCGGGCAUGCCUGUCCGAGCGUCAUUUCAACCAUCAAGCCCCGGACUUGUGUUGGGGACCUGCGUCCGACGCAGGCCCUGAAAACCAGUGGCGGGCUCGCUGUCCACACCGAGCGUAGUAACUAACCUCGCUAUGGAGUGGCGCGGGCGCCUGCCGUAAAACCCCCAAUUUCACAAGGUUGACCUCGGAUCAGGUAGGAAUACCCGCUGAACUUAAGCAUAUCAAUAAGCGGAGGA
rnacentral:misc_RNA from 1 species